rnacentral:rRNA from 1 species
UAUGUGAUCGUCUCUCGCAUAUCAAUAAGCGGAGGAAAAGAAACUAACAAGGAUUCCCCUAGUAACGGCGAGUGAAGCGGGAAGAGCUCAAAUUUGAAAUCUUAAAGGGUUUCCCUUUACGAAUUGUAGUUUAAAGAAGUGUUUUCUGUUGAGGUUUUGGUAAAAGUUCUUUGGAAUAGGACAUCAUAGAGGGUGAGAAUCCCGUAUUUGACCUUUACUUUCAACUUUGUGAUACACUUUCAAAGAGUCGGAUUGUUUGGGAAUGCAGUCCAAAAUGGGUGGUAAAUUUCAUCUAAAGCUAAAUAUUGGCGAGAGACCGAUAGCGAACAAGUACCGUGAGGGAAAGAUGAAAAGAACUUUGAAAAGAGAGUUAAACAGUACGUGAAAUUGUCAAAAGGGAAGCGUUUGACACCAGUGUUGUUUUUCUGAAAAUCAAUUAAAGAACUGUUUAUGCUAAGUUGUUUAGACUUUAUCAGCUAACUGUUUAGUUUUGAGCUUUUCUUUAAUGCACUUUUCAGUUAACAAGUCAACAUCAAUUUCUUUUGCUGUAAAAAAGCUUGAGGAAGGUGGCUUGAGAUUCGUCUUAAGUGUUUAUAGCCUCUUGCCUAUGCAGUCGGAGAGAUUGAGGUCUGCAGCGUAGAUCCUUCGGGGCUAAAUGCAUUUGUGCUAAGUUAUAGCAUUUUAUAGACAACUUGUUGACUAUGAUUUGUCUUGUAGCUUACUCGCCUAUGUUAUUUUACCUACGCUUAGGAUGUUGACACACGCGCGUGCUCG